rnacentral:rRNA from 1 species
GGACAGACAGAGAGCUUGCUCUCUUGAAGUUAGUGGCGAACGGGUGAGUAACGCGUAAUCAACCUGCCCUUCAGAGGGGGAUAACAACGGGAAACCGUUGCUAAUACCGCGUACGAUUCACAGGCGGCAUCGCUUGUGAAUGAAAGGUGGCCUCUAUAUAUAAGCUAUCGCUGAAGGAGGGGAUUGCGUCUGAUUAGCUAGUUGGAGGGGUAACGGCCCACCAAGGCAAUGAUCAGUAGCCGGUCUGAGAGGAUGAACGGCCACAUUGGGACUGAGACACGGCCCAAACUCCUACGGGAGGCAGCAGUGGGGAAUCUUCCGCAAUGGACGAAAGUCUGACGGAGCAACGCCGCGUGAGUGAUGAAGGUCUUCGGAUUGUAAAGCUCUGUUAAUCGGGACGAAAGAGUUCUGUGUGAAUAAUGCAGAAAAGUGACGGUACCGGAAUAGAAAGCCACGGCUAACUACGUGCCAGCAGCCGCGGUAAUACGUAGGUGGCAAGCGUUGUCCGGAAUUAUUGGGCGUAAAGCGCGCGCAGGCGGCCUAUCCAGUCUGUCUUAAAAGUUCGGGGCUCAACCCCGUGAUGGGAUGGAAACUAGUAGGCUAGAGUAUCGGAGAGGAAAGCGGAAUUCCUAGUGUAGCGGUGAAAUGCGUAGAUAUUAGGAAGAACACCAGUGGCGAAGGCGGCUUUCUGGACGAAAACUGACGCUGAGGCGCGAAAGCCAGGGGAGCGAACGGGAUUAGAUACCCCGGUAGUCCUGGCCGUAAACGAUGGGUACUAGGUGUAGGAGGUAUCGACCCCUUCUGUGCCG